rnacentral:misc_RNA from 1 species
AAAGUCGUAACAAGGUCUCCGUAGGUGAACCUGCGGAGGGAUCAUUACCGAGUGCGGGCCCUCGCGCCCAACCUCCCAACCCUUUGUCGAUUCGUAUCUGUUGCCUCGGGGGGCGACCCGGACGUCACGUCCGGUAGUCCCCCAGAGGUCCAACCCAACACACUGCGUCUUUGCGUCGGAGUAUUGAAAACAAAUCAAUCAAAACUUUCAACAACGGAUCUCUUGGUUCUG